CCUACGGGUGGCAGCAGUGGGGAAUAUUGGGCAAUGGACGCAAGUCUGACCCAGCAACGCCGCGUGAAGGAAGAAGGCUUUCGGGUUGUAAACUUCUUUUAAGGGGGAAGAGCAGAAGACGGUACCCCUUGAAUAAGCCACGGCUAACUACGUGCCAGCAGCCGCGGUAAUACGUAGGUGGCAAGCGUUGUCCGGAUUUACUGGGUGUAAAGGGCGUGCAGCCGGAGAGACAAGUCAGAUGUGAAAUCCACGGGCUCAACCCGUGAACUGCAUUUGAAACUGUUUCCCUUGAGUGUCGGAGAGGUAAUCGGAAUUCCUAGUGUAGCGGUGAAAUGCGUAGAUAUUAGGAGGAACAUCGGUGGCGAAAGCGCUUUACUGGACCAUUAUUGACGCUGAGGAACGAAAGCCAGGGGAGCAAAUGGGAUUAGAUACCCUUGUAGUC
rnacentral:rRNA from 1 species